CUUUCAGUUUCAGUUUCCCAGAAAGGAGGUGGGCUUUUUUUUUCACCCUGCUUUAAAAGCCCUUGGGCCCUUCCCAACUGGGUGCCAGCCAACUGCGGCUGCCUGGGACACUCCAUCUUAAGUCCCUGUGCCUCUGCUGUGUGUUACUGAGUGCCUAGGCCAUGCCAGCCUGUAUUCAUCUGUACCAUGACCUGAAGAGGCAGAGGCUAUCGUUGUUGGUCCGGUCUCCACCUGGGGAAACUGAGGUUACACAGAAACAAGCUCCUACUUCCAGAAAAAGUGCUCCUGGGACUCAAGGAUACCAAGCAUCUGGACGCAGUGGUAGAUGCCUGUAAUCCCAACACUUAGGCAGGAGGAUCACUCGAGCCCAGAAGAUCAAGACUAGCGUGAGCAACAAAAUCCUUCCCUGGCACCGGUUCCAGGAGGACCUGGUUCUUAGGCAGCAUCUGUAUCUCUG
rnacentral:lncRNA from 1 species